GCUUCCUGAGUGAGGCCAGGGACUCAAACCCGAAUCCUCAUAGAUACUAGUCAGGUUCGUUACCACUGAGCCACAACAGGAAUGCUGCUCAAUUUCUUCUAUACUGAGUUUACAAGAUGAGAUGGUGUGAGGACUGGAGCUGCGACAGCCAUCUUGCAGCCUCUGCAUGCGGUAAAGCUUUCUCCGGGCCAUUUUGGUAGAGAGGAGACUGAGCCCGGAAGAGAACAUGCGACCCCUCCUAAGGUCAGGGAGCCUGUCACCGCCCCACCUCCCCGGACGGCCAGGUGAGGGACUGUUGUACCUGCCGCUCACGGCGACGCCAGUUUCCUGGGCUCUGGGGACUCUGUGCUACCCUCACCUCACCAUCCUGAGGUCCUGCUUACCUGUCUGUGGUCCUCCUGAGAACUGGGACUGUCGUCUCUCAGCGUCCCGUGUCCCAGCGCUGUACCUGGCUCAGUCAGGAGCCUGGAUGACGUCUGAAUGUUAGCGCUGGCAUCUCCGCCAUCCUCGCCGCCCAGUCGGCUUCCUCUUCUCCCACCUUCCCCUCCUCCCCCAGGGGACACUGACGGAGGACGCAGUUUGGCGGCUAAGAAGAGGUCAGCUUCUGGUGUUAGGCAAACUCUGACUCUGCCAUUCGCUGCCACAUUUAAUAUGGCUAAGGCCUCACUUUGCACGUCUGUAAAAUGGAAAUGAUGGGGAGGGAGCUUUAUCAGCCCAGAGUCUGGCACAAAAUAGGCAUUUACUAAAUAAUGUCUGUAAAUAUCUAC